UGUCAUUUUCUGCCUUGAACGCAGUCCACAACUCAGUCCCAGCUCUGGGGAAGGUGGGUGAGGUUUUGCAGACCAGGAAGGGCGUUCCCUGUGUACAGGUUUGCUACACACCUGGGAAGCCAUGUGUUUUGGUGGGGAAGGGGAGGUGAAAAUCCUUGAGGUCCCUGAAUUUCAAAGCUAACAUCUACUAAAUCCUUGGCUUAUUGUCUACCCUGUGAAGUGCAUCUGAAUUUUCACUAAGCCCAGCACAUCCCUCCUAAGGGCAGAGCUCAGUGGGUGGUGGUCAGGGCUGUGUUCUGCUGCCUCUGGCAGGAAAGAUGCUUGGCACCCAAAUAAGCCAAUUCCUGUUACCCAAACCAACCAAACAAGAAGAGGUUGUGGAGGUUACAAGCUGCCUGUGUGUAAUGUGAAAUGAAUUGAGCAAUGGGAUUUCUGCCUCCCUCAGAAGAUCCUACUGCUUUGGUGUACUUGUCUUGGCUCCUGAUGGAGACUUCAGAGAUCUUUGUGCCAGGAAGAUAAUCCUGCCACCUUUCUGAAGGCAGGACUGAAGUGCUCAGGCCUCCUUGGAAUGAUGCAUUUUGAUGGUGCUGUCAUGGGAUGGACAUUCAUUGUGGACAUGCUGUGAAUGUGCGAGUGGCAUCAUUUCACACAAGAUGAAGAGGGACCGUGAAUGCAUCACUUCAUGAGGUGGGGAGCACUGGGUUAGUCGUGGUUACCGCGCAGCAGCUAUUGUGCUCCUGCUGAAAUCCAGUGGCUGCCC